rnacentral:rRNA from 2 species
GGACUACUGGGGUAUCUAAUCCUGUUUGCUCCCCACGCUUUCGUGCAUGAGCGUCAGUGCUGGCCCAGGAGGCUGCCUUCGCCAUCGGUGUUCCUCCACAUCUCUACGCAUUUCACUGCUACACGUGGAAUUCCACCUCCCUCUGCCACACUCGAGCCUCGCAGUCCUGAAUGCCAUUCCCAGGUUAAGCCCGGGGCUUUCACACCCAGCUUACGAGACCGCCUGCGCACGCUUUACGCCCAGUAAUUCCGAUUAACGCUCGCACCCUACGUAUUACCGCGGCGGCUGGCAC